rnacentral:rRNA from 1 species
AUUGAACGCUGGCGGCAGGCCUAACACAUGCAAGUCGAACGAGUGGCGGACGGGUGAGUAAUGUCUGGGAAACUGCCCGAUGGAGGGGGAUAACUACUGGAAACGGUAGCUAAUACCGAAUACCUUCGGAUUGGCCCAGAUGGGCUUAGCUAGUGGGUGGGGUAAUGGCUCACCUGGGCGACGAUCCCUAGCUGGUCGGGGAGGAAGACAGGCAACACGGGAAUGGAGACACGGUCCAGACUCCUACGGGAGGCAGCAGAGGGGAAUAUUGCACAAUGGGGGCAAUCCUGAUGCAGCCAUGCGGCGUGUAUGAAGAAGGCCUUCGGGUUGUAAAGUACUUUCAGCGAGGAGGCGUUACUCGCAGAAGAAGCACCGGCUAACUACGUGCCAGCCGCCGCGGUAAUUC